rnacentral:rRNA from 1 species
GACGGAAGGUGCAAGCGUUGCUCGGAAUCACUGGGCGUAAAGGGUGCGUAGGCGGCUGUGCAAGUCUGGCGUGAAAGCCCCGGGCUCAACCUGGGAACUGCAUUUGUGACUGCAUCGCUGGAGUGCGGCAGAGGGGGAUGGAAUUCCGCGUGUAGCAGUGAAAUGCGUAGAUAUGCGGAGGAACACCGAUGGCGAAGGCAAUCCCCUGGGCCUGCACUGACGCUCAUGCACGAAAGCGUGGGGAGCAAACAGG